UACGUAGGGGGGCUAGCGUUGUCCGGAAUCAUUGGGCGUAAAGAGCUCGUAGGCGGCCUGUCGCGUCGGUUGUGAAAGCCCGGGGCUUAACCCCGGGUCUGCAGUCGAUACGGGCAGGCUAGAGUUCGGUAGGGGAGAUCGGAAUUCCUGGUGUAGCGGUGAAAUGCGUAGAUAUGCGGAGGAACACCGAUGGCGAAGGCAAUCCCCUGGGCCUGCACUGACGCUCAUGCACGAAAGCGUGGGGAGCAACAGG
rnacentral:rRNA from 1 species